AUUGAACGCUGGCGGCAGGCCUAACACAUGCAAGUCGAACGAGUGGCGGACGGGUGAGUAAUGUCUGGGAAACUGCCCGAUGGAGGGGGAUAACUACUGGAAACGGUAGCUAAUACCGCAUACCAUCGGAUGUGCCCAGAUGGGAUUAGCUAGUGGGCGGGGUAACGGCUCACCUCGGCGACGAUCCCUAGCUGGUCUGAGAGGAUGACGAGCCACACUGGACCUGAGACCCGGCCCAAACCCCUACGGAAGGCAGCAGUGGGGAAUAUUGCACAAUGGGCGAAAGCCUGAUGAAGCCAGGCCGCGUGUAUGAAGAAGGCUUUCGGGUUGUAAAGUACUUUCAGCGAGGAGGCGGUACUCGCAGAAGAAGCAACGGCUAACUACGUGCCAGCCGCCGCGGUAAUUC
rnacentral:rRNA from 1 species